AUGCAGCUGGUCACCUGCGGUCGGACCGCGGUUAACAUUAACGGCGAGAUCGGGCCAUACUUCCCCACCCUUUGUGGGGUUCGCCAGGGCGACCCGUUCUCCCCGUUUCUGUUUAACAUGGUGGUUGAUGCCCUUUCCGUCAUCCUGGAUAAGGCCAAAUCUGCUGGCCAUAUCCAUGGCAUAGUCCCUCACCUGAUAGGAGGGGGAGGGGUCUCCCUCCUACAAUAUGCUAACGAUACCAUAAUAAUGGUGGAGGGCUCCGCGUCCGACAUCGCUAACCUAAAGUUCCUCCUCCUAUGCUUCCAACAGAUGUCCGGGUUCACAAUCAACUUCGAUAAGAGCGAAGUGAUGAUUCUGGGCUAUACUCCCCUGAGGAGGCCCAAGCCAUCGCCGACCGACUGA
rnacentral:rRNA from 1 species